GGGCGGAUCUACUAAGGGACCAAGGUGGUCCCAGGACCACCCGAAGCUCGGAAAAAUGGCUGUGAGGAUCUUCAAGGACCACCCAAGUCUGGCAGUGAUGGAGAAGAACAGCAGCCAUGGCUGCUCUGGUCGCUGGGCAUUUCAGAAUGAGGAAGAAGAAAGCAAAUUUUUUUUUUAAAAUGACUUGGCCAAAACGACGUCGUUUUGAGCCAAGUCAUUAAAAAAAAUUUAAAACCUCACUGCUCACUCACGUGAGAACACUCAGGCUCAGCUCCUUCACACAACAAUCGGAACUUCACUUUACCAAAUCGUUCAACGCUCUUCGUUCUCGUUACCAAAUCCUUCACACAACAAGGUCUGCUUGCUCUCAUUCCUUACGGCGUCAGCAUCGAACUCUCUUCUGCACUGCACUAGUUUCUGAAUCUGAAUCUGAUUGCUUGCACUGCACAACAAUCAGAACUUCACUCUCUUCUCGCUCUCGUUCCUUCAGAGAUGAGGGCAAGGUCAGGAAAGUGUUGAAGGUGGAGCCUCUCCCAGACGAAUCUGGCCAUUUCUUUAACCUGAGUAAUCAUCUUUUCCUUGAAAUCUUGGUGGACAUUUAUCUUCACCUUAUUAUACCAUAAUAUGUGAUUUGAUGCUGCAAUUUCUUAAUUUUCAGUCAACAUUUUGAGUAUAGUCAAUCGUUCGUACAUCAAUGCUUUAGGCAAACUUUUCUCAUUUAUUCAUCCGCCUAUAGACUUUGCAGUUGUAAAGUUCAUAACUAAACACCAUUAUGCUGCAUGGUUAAGUAAUGGAUAAGCAAUACAUAUGAUGCAUGUAUGGUUGUGCUUUUA